rnacentral:sRNA from 1 species
AGAACUAUCGAAAAUUUCGAAUGUUGAUAGUUUGCCAGCCCUAUUUCCUUGUGUGUAAAAGAAAAAAUGAGAACACUCACACGCACGCAUACCUAAAUUCAUGUUUUGCGUCAUAACAAUGCACAUUCACAGUUAGAUCUCUGCGUCAUUCAUUCUAUGUAAAAUCUUGAAGCUAGUGAAUGUUUUUGACUUAGCAGUGUAGUAUAAAGUUUAAAAAAGAGCAUCCGAACUGACUAUUGCUUGUACGAGAAAUUGAAACGUAAGAACUUGGUACAUAAUUUGCAAAGUAAAGUCAUUGAUAGACCAUAAAAAUUUACACAAAAAAAGGUAAUCGUGAAGCAAAUUUUUAUCAACUGUGGCACACUUGUGUUCGUGUAUGGCGUCGGUUUUAAGUAUUGGCGAUUCUUUACCAGCCUUCCCAGAGGCUGGGCAAGAAUCGCUACCCCCUAAGUGUGACUACAACAACACAGUGCCUAGAUUUAUGUAAAAAUUUUAUCUCAAUAUAUUGUAUUUAACCAAAUAUCGUAUCUAA